GACGUAGGGCGCGAGCGUUGUCCGGAUUUAUUGGGCGUAAAGAGCUCGUAGGCGGCUUGUUGCGUCAGCUGUGAAAACCCGCAGCUCAACUGUGGGCUUGCAGCUGAUACGGGCAGGCUUGAGUUCGGUAGGGGAGACUGGAAUUCCUGGUGUAGCGGUGAAAUGCGUAGAUAUCCGGAGGAACACCGGUGGCGAAGGCGGCUUCCUGGACCGACACUGACGCUGAGGCGCGAAAGCUAGGGGAGCAAACGGG
rnacentral:rRNA from 1 species